CCCACUUUCCGGCCACAAGGAUCAAGGCCCAAAGGGAGGCAGCAGCACUGCCAAGAACCAGGCAGCAAGGAGCUCACGCUCAGGCUUAAUGCAAACACCUGGCCAGGACGGAAGUUUGAUCCUGCAAGAGCCAAGCAAUGCAGCAGCUUCAUCUCAUUGGGCAGAAGAUAAGCACUGCACAUGCAGAUCUUCCAGAUGUCCCAGGACUUGUCCCAGGAAUCUUCAUAUGCCCUCUGAAAGCCAGUUGUAAUGGAAAGGCUGCUUCAUGUGGUGCAUCGAACACGUUUCAUUUUGUGGCCCUCAAAUUGAGCAAAAAGGGCUGUCAGAGCAAGGCUGCAGGAUUCAGGCUCUGACCUUCACACCCUGCUCUCUCCUGUUCUUGCUGGUACUGUGUGCUGAGGGGAGGCUCCUGCAGCACCUGCCCUGGGAUAAGGCAUCACGGUUUGUUCCUGUCCCUGCCUUCAAGGUCUGUACCAUUCCACAUGGCUGUUUCUCUAGGAGAAAGCGUGUGUUCAGCAGUGUGAACCGUCUCCACAGAGCUGCAGCCUGGCUGAGUAACACAAUCCUUCACCUCUCCCCUUGGAGAACAGAAGGGACAGAAAUGUACUGACUACAACUAGGGGCAUCCCAUCCUGGUUUUGCUGCUGUCACGAGCCCCUCUUGUUCUGUCGGAAGGGUUUUGUGUGCAGAGAGAUGUAGCAGAUAGGCUGUGUUUGCCUGGGCCAUGAAGAGUAACAACCCUUUACAAGCAAAGAUGCACUCUUUAGCCUGCCAGGCAGUGUGCUUGGGAGCUCCACUGCUUCCUCAGGAUGUCCACAAAACGUCAUCCAACAAGAUGGCACCUACCAGCUGCUCUCACCUGGGUGGGCAAUGUGAGCCACUGUGUGCUCUGCCGGCCCUGUGCACAGUGAGGGGCGCUGGUGGUGUGAAUGGGAGAAACCAUAAACGCAGUUAGAGUGGGAAGGGAGAGGAAUUGCACCAUCCGUUAUCCAACUUGAGCAAAGUGACGUGAAGAAGGAUAUUAUUUUAGAAAGUUUAUCUCUUUAGUAUCUAUGGUGACAAGAUGCUUAUCGGAGUAAGACAGACUCACAGGCUGUCUGCUCCUUGUUAUCUCAGUGUAGGAUGACAGUAUAAGUAUCACGUCUAGAAAUGUUAUCUAUCCUUUAUUAUUUCACUUGUGAGGGUCUAACAGGAGUGUUAUCAGGGUGUUUACAAUCAAAACACGUGCGGCUCAAGUGAUAAAAAGGAGAACAGACAUCUGAUCUCCAAGGAUAUGAAGACAAUACAGCCUUGAGCAGGAGGAGAUGGAUCUUAUUGGAAAUGGUUAGUCGGGCUGGGAAUGGACAAGCAAGCCCGCGUGAUUGCUCACAUCAUAAGCUUGAGAGAUGGGAUGGGGGAGAAGCACGCGUACGAGCGCACGCGGUCUCACAGAAAAUGAAAAGGCGAUUGUAUCAACAGCACUCUCAGCUGAAAGAGAAAUAUUUUCCAAUAAUUUCGUUACGAUUUGAUGUAUUCUGUGCUCUCCUCUCCCUUGGAGCGGUAAUGUGGCGAGCUGGCAGGACCAACAAGUGCCGUAGAGUUGCUUGGAGUGAGUCAGAAGCUGAGAAAGCUUACCCAGGCUCGGAGGGUGGAGAGCAGACAGCUGGUAAGAUUGCUUAUCAGGGGCUUCCUUUAGAUUAGCACAACGCUGGCCCAAGCUUCUGCAAGGUAAGGAAUCAAUUUCGGGGUUAGUGGUGACUAUAAACCUUAUCCUAGAUCUCCUUAGGGCCAGGGAGGCUAAAUUCCUCACGGACGGAGGUGUACAAAGAUCUCCCAGACAUCAGAUCUCAUUCGUUUACAGUGUGAGCAAGCCAGGUGCUCAGUGGUAUCAAAUGCUGAUUUUCUUACUUGGCAUGAAUGAUCCUCAGCUGUUAAAGAUAGGGCUGGAUUGUGCAAUGCUCUGUUCAAACCCAGGUCUUACUCCUGGAGGUGUCUGUGUUCUUGGAUAGAUAGACUUCAUUGGAUGUUUUCUUCUUCUGUUGCAGUUAGACUCCAUUCUCCUAAGGUACAACAGUUCCCUUAAGCCAAGCAGAGUGCUUUUAUCCCACAAGAUAACAUGGAGUGAGGAGUGUGUCUUCUGGGGGUCAUAGAUGGGGGGCCAGGCAUGGUGAGGUGCAAUGGGUGGGCACAUUGUGGCCUCCUGGUGACAAACCCACCUCUGAGCAUCUCUUCCUGACUGUAUAGCUGGCUUCCAACUGGAGGUAGGCAGCUUCUUUGGGUAGGGGGUAGGGAAGGAACACAAGCAUCUCCCCCUCAGCACAGUUCUGCAUUAGCCUGCCUGCUCAGCUCCAUAUUCAUCUUGAGUUGGGUAUCACACAAAGAGAACUGCUUUCAACCUGUCUCAAUGACUCUCCCAUCACUCUCUAAUGGCUGUCAACUGCAGGUAACCCUUCUUCACCUGUGGAAACUGGCAGCAACACCUCGGGCUCGUUUAUGAGAAAUUAUCUCUGGUUGUGAUACACGGUGCAUUUUUUUUUUUUCGUUUGAACCCCUAGCUUGGCAGGGCCAGUGGGGCUGUUUUGUAUGGUAAUAUAUGACCCAUCACUCCUCUCCUGCCCUUCGUCUCUCACACCUUUAAUUGCACUUGUGUUUCUGAAGCAUAUGGAAUUCAUUAUUCAGCAAGCAAGGUCCUUUGCAAUAUCAGCCUUAAUUAACUGUUCCCCUCUGCAUUUUCUUGCUCUUAUCCUCUCCAAAUCUACACACCAAGACAGGCUGAUGGCCCCCCACAUGCAUCAGUGCCAGCCAGUGAGCCGUGACCAGAUAAGAAGAAAUGGAAUUCCUUAUCUUUUUUUUUUUUUUCCUUCUUCUUUCUUAAAAUACAUGUACACACAAACCUGGAAAAGGUCAAGGUUACUGGGAAGGGAGAAGGCACUUCAAGACAACAAAACCCCCUUCUCUUUCAAGUCUCCAUAGCAACUCGAAGGAGCAUCAUGGGAUGUCAGGAUGAGAGAGGCCUAUUCUUUUCAUGCAACACUCUUUCCACUUCAUUAGACUCUUUAUCAAGUAUCUCUGCUCUGGGCUGAGUAUAUUUUUUUGUGUCAGGGAGCAGUGCAGAUGACUCAAAAGCACGCUGACCUUUUCAGUGGGACCCGGGAGUUCCUUGUGGGAGCUGCAUCCUCUUCCCUUGCCUUCCUCCCCCACAGCCCCUUGCCUCCAGUUCGCAUGACCUUGGUCUGCCUGGCCUUCUCAUCAAAACCCCGUGGCUGGGGAGGGAUGAAGGGCUUCUUUUAAAGGAGAAAGGGGGAAAAAAAAUAAAGAGAGCAGAGUAUGAGAAUGUCCUUCGCUGGCACUGGAGGUGUCAAGACCCAGCUGUCAGAGCCGUGCAUCUAUGGGGAAGAUUAAUGACUCUGCUCAGAGAAAAUCCAAAUAAAAUAGGAGAGAAUAAAUGCCAAGUGACUGUGCGGAGGAUGAGGGGAAGAGUGAGGAAGGAGCGAGGCAGUGUGACGGGGCGGAGGUAUUCCUCAGUCUCGGAAGUGCUUUAAUUCCCCGUGGAGGAACAAGUUAGCAUAGGAACGCUCUUUACGUUUCACCCCAUGGUCUUGAAGAGCCGUGUCUGUCUGUGUGCAUCGGGGUGUGAGCACGCUUAUAAAGCACUGGUUGUACCGAGGCACCGAGGCUGUAUGUUUUUAUCUUUACUUCCUUGGAAAAAUACCCACCGUAGAGAAGCCUUUUGUUUUAAGCUUCUCACCACGUUAGCCCGUUUCAUCCUCUAGAUAUCUUGAAUUGCUUUGCAAAUCAAUGUGCUGCUUGUUCUUGGGAAACUUCAAUGCCUGUUUUAUGCUGGGCAGUAGCACACAGCACAGCUUGGAGGGAAUAAAGGGGCUGCAACUGUGCUGUGGUUGUGGGAUUGCACUUGAGCUGCAGGCCCUUAGACCUAACCUUCACGAGAUACCAAGGCGCUGUAACUGCCUUUAGUUUUUAAGAUGAUCCUUUGGAUUUUUACUUCUUCCAGGGAGCUGUUCCGUGACAGUUUGCAGCUUAAUUUGAACAGACUUCAUGCUCUGAGAGCCCAGCUGAGCUCCUCACCAUAACAGCACACGGUGUGAAACUCCGUAUGUUGGAAGCCGCGUGCAUUGGAUGAGGAGAGGGACUCGUUAGCGUGGAUGACUGACAAGGCCAAAGUCAUUUAACCAAGUGUUUGUAAAGAGCCUUGAACCUGGACAUGCUCAGACUGUGUGCUCCAAGCUAGAUGAUUUACAUGGGUGAUUUUAGGAGGAAAAACUGUAGAAGAAAAAGCUUUGCACGUACAGUAGGAAUCAGGGUUAUGAAUAUCCCAGUCCAACUGCUUCGAUCCUCGGAGGAGUAAUUCUGAAGUGGGAAAUCCCAUUAACUCAUAAUAGGGCUCUUAAGUAGUUCCCUAUGAUGAAUUUGUGGCACUCUGCAAGUCUCAUAAUUCCCAAUAUACAGAUGAGGAAACUGAGGUUAAGUGACUUACCCAAGGUCACGUAGGAAAUCAAUAACCACUGCAGCCCGCGCCGGCAGCACCUCUCACUGACUGUGAGUGACUCGGAAUCAGGGAAUGAUUUGUGUUGAAAGGGGCCUCAAAGAUCACCCAGUUCCAGCCCCUGCAGUGGGUUGGUGGCCACCCACGACAUCAGGUUGCCCAGGGCUGCAUCCAACCUGGCCUUGGACAGCUCCAGGAAUGGGGCACCCACACUUCUCUGGGCAAACCGAAUGGUGAUAAUCAUCCCCAGUGCUGGCAGAGGAAACUUGGUGUCUGAACCCUGUAUCAUGUCACAGCUCUAAAGAAUGUCCCAGGGUCUCGGGGGAGGCUUGGCCAUGCAGAGCUGAGUGGCUGGGACUCUCCCACCCCGAUCAGAGCAACGCUGCUUUGCUGUUCCUGGCAGAUGGGUGUCCUCUUGUUCUCAGGAUCCUCAAAUAUGGAUGCUCUGUGGUCUCCUGCUGUCCCAGUUUAUCCCAGUGCCCUCUGCCAUCUGUCACAGCACUGUUGCUUUCCCGUGGCACGGCAGGCAGGAGCCCGAAUCCCACACUCUCCAUCUGUGUCAGGUGCUCUGGCUGUGCUCAGCAGUGUGUUUCUUGUGAUCUGAAGCUUAUGUCUGAAAAAGCAGGCAGAUCAUGUCUGUGGCAGGUGUGCAGUGUUGGGGGUGGGAUCCUCUCUCAUAUGAUGGCAGGAAAUUGCCUCGUGCAGGACCUCUCUGCUGUGGUGAGUGUGAGAGCCUCUGCCAGUACCUGUGCUCCUUCUUUCCUCCUGCUGAUUGAGCUCACCGCUCGUGUUCCAGCUCCUCUGCUCGCUGCUUUCAUCUCAGGUUUGCAGGGGAAUACACUGCUGGCAUAGGGGUGUUCCAGCACUGGGGACUGGUGUGAUCAAUGCAUGCUUCCUUACCACGUGUGGUGGGUCCUGCAGGAAGGGGCUGUGCUUCCCAGGGUCCAACGUGGGACUCCUCACAGUAACACUGACCAUCACCUACGUGCUCUUCCUAUCACUUGUUGCUCUUUCCAGAACUAGCAGCUGGUGUGACCCAGCGAUGAGAGGUGCAAGACGGGGUGCAGACACCCAGCAUCACUCAGGUCUUCUGCAGGAGUUUUUCCUCUGUCCAGCUUCUCAGUUCUUUUUUUAUAGUUUCCCUUCAGCUGAUUCAUAGCUAUUUGAAUUGCUGAUUUCACUCGUACUGUUACUGUGGCCUAGUGCUAAUGAUCUGUCUCUAUUUCCUUCCCAGGUAGUAAAGCACAGCAAUACUCUGGAGCCUGCUGUCUGAAUGAGUAUGUGCUGGGAUUAACCUGCUGCCCAACAGCUUGCUAUAUUUUCAUAGUGCUUCCCAUAGCUGCCAGUCUGACAGGCCUCUGAAAGCUGAGGGAAGUGGUUAGUGAUAAGGUGUGGGCACUGAGAACAGCUACGCUUUAAGGCCUCACAAGGACAGCAUGCAUUUCUUGUAUGGCUCCAUUUUCCGAUCAGCAUCUCUACACAUAUUUGUCGCUUGCCAGACCCUCAGUCCUCUUUGACUUAACCUGCUGAGAAGGGAGGAUGCUCAGGAGCAUGCAGGCGGAGCAGGAAGCUCAGGGCUAUCUGCCAUAACCCAACCCAGAGACCACUCUGCUCCGCAGCUGGUGCUCCAGCCACCUGCAUUGCCAGCACUGAGCUCCAGCUCCAUAACCCAGUGCCUGCGGGUAGUUUUCUGACCUUGUGUAGGGCGAAGAUCUUAACACUCCGUGCAUAUGUGGGGUGAAUGCUGUGGCAGAGGUGUGGCCAUGUAGACAACCCCCUGUUUUGCAACGCACGGCAGAGCACUGGUGUCUCAGGGACAGUUGUAGCGCAGGGGAUAUUUUGUACUGCAAACUGCAGCUUUAAAAAAAGCACUCAAUGUUGGUUCAAGGUUUCAUUCCUGAAGCCUUAAGGACUGAAUAUAUUCACUGUGUCCUUCUUUAUUUGCAGGUUUAAGGCACGACAGACUUGUUCCGCUGAUUAUUCUGACUGCAGUUUUAGCUCUCCCCUCCUGGCUGUCAAAGAGGAGUUGGUCCUUGUAUGCAAGAUCUUAAACCACGUGUUGGGAGCUCAUGCAUGGAGCAGAGCAGCGGCAUCAGAGGGGAUCCGAGUUGCUUGGAGCCCUGCUUGUGUGACUCACCGGUGGCACUGAAGACCUUCCCCUGCAGGCUGGAUCCUGGACAGCGCUCCCAUCCCUGCACCUCCAACCUCAGUGCCCGGAUGGUGGAGCCAGGAGGUUCUGGAACAAGGCAGCAAAACUUGCUCGGUGUAGACAAAGCCGUGUGACAGUCCCACCUAACAGCAACCAUGCUACUGGGAACGCAGACAAAGGUGUCACUGUGAUUAAUGGGGCACUCAUCUGAGCACCGCGUCCAGGAGCACAGGUUGCACCUUGCCCUGGUGGCCCGGCUUUUGCAGGCUUUGUCUGCUGUGAGUCCUGCUCAGAAAUGGCUGGAAGGAAUUCAAGGACAGAAGCAAAAAGCAUGGGGCUUAGCCUCAGACUCCCUCAGGAAGGGAAGGACGUGCAUCCUGCCUGUCCUGUGCAUACGGUGUUCCUCUCCAUGGACUCUUUCCAAGGUGUUGGUCUCCAGAAUGCUCCUGGCUCUGCUCUUCUUGGAAGCAAUGGUGAGACAUCUGUCAGUGUGAGCCCAUAGAGGGAAGCUGAGGUAGGUCACUUUGUAGUCAAUUCAGCUAACUUUUUCUCAAGUCUGAAUUAUCUCAAGGAAAAAUAUAGUUUUGGGUUUUCUGGAUGUGGUCCCAGCCCUAUUUCUGCAAAUGUGGCAUCUCUCAGUUAGGAGAGGGCAGUGCGAGAGUGGGGUGAGGCAGCAGGUCCCUUGCAAGCUGGUAUGCCACCAGAUCAUGCAGAUGGGUCAGGUUUUGUGCCAUGUUCAGGUUAAUGCUUUGCAAACACUAGGUCCAGACAAGAAGCAGUAGCUCCAAUAAUGUUUAAACGAGCUUAAAAUCUGGAGAUGAGAUCUGUAGGCCUUGUGCAAGGAGCAGGACAGUGGAGCACCCAGAAGUGGAUUUAAGACAUGUAGCUGCUUUGUUCUGGGCUUUGUUGAAACAGACUGCCCCGGGAGGUAGUGGAGUCACUGUCCCUGGUGGAGUUCAAGAGCAGUGGAGAUGCGACGCUGAGGGACGUGGUCAGUGGGCAUGGUGGGAUGGGCUGGGGUUGGAUUUGGGGAUCUUAGAGGUCUUUUCCAACUUUAAUGAUUCUGUGAUUCUAUGAUUAGAAGAAGGUGGAGCAGUCACAGGGCUCCCAUGGUUCAGAAUUUGUCUGAGAUCUCUCAGUGUCCCCAUGCUGAAGGGCAGUGCUUGUGCUGGGAUGGUUGGAGCUAACCUGAGAUCCUCCCCAGGUGCUGUGGUGUGGUGCAGGCUGCAUUGGCAGAGGAGGUGCAAUGGGCAAGCAACAAAGUGCAGGAUGGGCCCUGAAAUGCCCUGGGACAUUGGUUUGCCAAACUUCUGUGUCAGUGGUACUGUCAACAAUGUCCUGCCAAGAAGCAUCAGCAGGCAUGCAGCUGAGAUUUCCCUUCCCCCCCCCUCCUUUUCUUUCAUUCUAUUACUCCUGUUAAAUUCUCUUCACUGCACUCACUCUAAUGGUGCCUCAUUUGGUUUAUGUCCUUCAAACUCUUCCCUUUAAACACGUAGUCAUCACUUAGCUAAACUACUGUAUACAAAUAUAGCUCUUUUGAUCUUCCUACGUAAAUCAAUACCUCCUGCCCUUUAAUCUUCCUAGUGGCUUUCUCUGAACUCCCUGCAAUUUACUAUCCAUCUUUGAAAGUAAGUUGUCUUUUGGGCUUGAUUCUCUACAAUUUCAAACCUCCUGAAGUCCCAAUAGCUGCCCACAGCAGGUGCACACGGUGGUUCUCCACCACUCUGUUCAUGCUGAAGUAAUGCAAACACUUGCAUACAAGGCAUUUCAUGUCCCCCUGGGUUGGUGUGGCUCCCCAUGCCAGAAGUGAGUGGUCAUGCAGCACAAGCCCAUAUUUUCAAAGUAGUUCUCACAGGAUGCUAAAAGCCAUGGCGCAAGCCAUUGGGUGCCAUUUGGGGUUGAAGGAGAGUUGUAAUGGUUAGUUAUGGAGAGGACUUUCUGCAGUUAUUGGUGGCUGUAGAGAUGAAUCUCAUCUUCUCCAUAGCAGUAGAGCCUGUAGAUGCAAGCAAGCAAGCCCAAGAUAAAGAUUUGUCCCCUGAGAGUGGGCAAUGUAUGUGUCCCUUCCUUCACAGGACAGCUCACCUUACCUGGCUGCAGGUGGGACCUUUUGAUGGGGCUAGACCAUGGGCUCAGCAGGAAACCAGACCUGGAAGCCCAUCCAGGGUACAUGUCAUCUCUGUGCAGGGAAGGGUUGCCUUGUCAGCUGCUUUGCAGUGCCAGGAGCUCUGAGAAAUAACCUUGUGCCUUGCUUUGAUGCAAGUGUCAGACACAAGUCCAGCGCACUCUCUAACCCAUGUGUCCAGUCUGCUGGUUGUAUUAUGUUUAGUAAAUAAGGUUGUCACUGGAGUGGUCUCGAGGGCAAGAAUUAAGAAAUCUCAUAGGGAUUGAAGAGACAAUUGUACAGUUCUCCCCGUCCUUGCCUUGACAGUUACCUCCAGUUUUCCCCUGGGACCAUUCCACUCUUGAACUGGGAAUGCUGUGAUUCAUAGAAUCACAGAAUCACCAAGGUUGGAAAAGACCUCCGAAAUCAUCCAGUCCAACCACUCACCUACCCCCAGUAUUUCCCCACUAAACCAUGUCCCUCAGUACAACGUCUAGACGUUUCUUGAACACCUCCAGGGAUGGGUCUCAACCACCACCCUGGGCUGCCCAUUUAAAACCAUUGCAGUAAAUGUCUUUUAUUCCCCCUCAUCUUUCAAAGGGAGGGUUUAUAAUAGCAAUAACCCCUUCUUUUAGCAAUAACCCCUUCUUUUAGCUUUUCAUUAUGGGUCAAAUAAAAGCAUAUCAGAGCACGAGACAGAGAAUCUCACCACUCUCCUUGCCCCCAAAGGAUAAACAUAGUAGUGCUGCUACGGGCCCUAUAGCUUAAUUAGUUGCUAUUCUCUGCAGUUCCAAAAAAGGAUGAAAAAAAUCCUUUGCAAAGCCUAGGCAGGCUGUCUGUGUCAUAUUUCCUGUGUUCUUAGAGGUGUUAAUGAAUUCAUUAAUCACUUAAUGGCAAGGAGGGUCUUUGGGGACCAGCACUGCAAUUUACUGCUCCCAGGAGGCAGACUCUGUCACUGAUCUAAAGUUUCAGCUCCGCUAAUUUGUGCCAGCAGAGCCGCUGAGCUUCUGCCUGCAGCCCGCAAGCAUUGUGGCUACUGGGAGCAUCACAGCAGCACGCAAAGCAUCAGGGUAUGCUCACUUGGGAAGGUUUUGCAACGCGCAACGUUCUGGCUCUGAAAAGUUCAGAGCCCACAUGGAGGCAAGGAGGUGUUCCCCCAGCCUUGCAGUUGUGUUGCCUUAAUUCUUUUCAUUGGGAUAAGCUUGCUGCUAAGCCAGUCCUUGCAAUCAACUGGGGAAUGCAGCAGGAGCCUUGCUGACUUACAGGAAAUGCAAGCUAUGGAAGCGUGGCUGUAUAAUCUGGUCUGGGACUGCAGGCUAUGCAAUGAAAGGAGUCUGUGAAUCUCUUCUAAUUGAAGAAUACAUCAGGCUGAUGUAUUUUGACUGAAACUGUCAGUUAAAAUGUGAAUUUGAAUGUUUGCAUUUCUGCUCUGCAGAAAAUGUUGAUUAUUUCAGUCUCUCGCCCUUGUUGCAGGAGAGUCACUUGUGUCAAAGUUCCCUACAAAAUGUCUCUUUUGGCUUCUUUCUCAUCACACGGCAGUUCAAGGAGAGGGGGACGUGAGCAGAGCCCUCCUCUCCGCUAAUUCCAUUCCACCAGCCUGUCAUCACGUUGCAAUUGCCGCUUCUAAAAGGUUUUUCUGCCUUGCUUUUCUGUGGCUGAGCUCCCCUUUCUAACUUCUGUCCGUCUUUCUCCUCGGUCUGUUGCUUUCCCAGGCUGGGAGUCAAAGAGGGCAAAGUACGUCAGAUGUGAGUAGGAGGGAGGGCAGAGUCCAUGGGUCAUGGCUGUCUGUGUGUGUGCACGUGCUCACCUUCCACCGCUGGUACCCUCCUUGGAGUCAUUCCCACACUCAUGUUCUUUGCUCAACAGUUACUGUAGGGAGGAGAGAGCUGGAAGGCAGGACAGAAGCUACAUGUUGAAUCAAAGGAGAGAAGGCGGGAAUACAAAACCACUUCAUCGUGGAAAACACAAAGGGAGACAAUUUCAGUAAAUGCCAGAUGGUCAAAAUUAACCAGAGACGUGUAGAGCCCUACAUGUCCAACUGUUUGCUUUGGCAGAGAUUCUUCAGCUUUUCGAACAAGAGUCUCUGGGGCGCCCUUUUCUUCUCCUUGGCUUUCCUCCUCUCCUUCGCUCAUCCUUUGGACUCCUCACCCCACCCUUCUCCUCUGGCUGUUUUUCCUGCCUCUCCUCUCUCACUGCUGCCCAUGAGUCAUGUUGCACCUCAAAUGCCAGCUUGUGUUACGGUGAGGGGAGACCACUGCAAAUAAAUGUCCUCAUGCAACAACAGACUUGGAGGGCAUGCAAGGUGGUGGCUGCAGCUGUCAAGGACCACUGCCAUCACAGCCCUGUGGAAAUGCUGGAGCACUUCAACCCUGUGCUUGUUGUUGCUGUGGGUAUUAAUUUCUUCCUCUCCUCCCAAGGGCCUUGACUCAGCUUUGAUUUUUUUUUGUUUCAGCCAGGAAUCCAGAAGGAGUUCUUGCGGUUCAGUAAGCAGAGGAGCAUGCAUAAGUUGCUUACCCUGAUGGAGCAGUGGGAUGUAGUCUUGGUGGGGCAGGGGGAUGCAGCCUUGUUGGGGCAGUGGGACAUGUCCUUGUUGGGGCAGUGGGACAUGGCCUUGCUGGGGCAGUGGGACAUGGCCUUGCAGGGGCAGUGGGAUGUAGUCUUGCUGGGCAGUGGGCCAUGGCUGUGUUGGUGCAGAAGGAUGCUGUCUUGUUGGGGCAGAGGGACACGGCGUUCUUGAAUCCAAGCCAACUGCAUGGCAUGUUCCUCCAAACAAUGCAAUCAAGAGGGCCCUUGUAUGGCACAGACGGAGAGCUCCAGCUAACGACGGGCUCUUUUGUGUGCGCGUGUGCUCUCUGCAUUCGAAACAUUUAUUAUUCCAAAUUGCCUUCUGCACAUUUUACAAUAAUUACGACUAGUGUUUGCCUUGUUAUCUCCACAGUUACUAACAAGAAUGCCAUCAUUAUUCCAGUCAUUAGCAAAAUGGAUGUUGUUGUCCAGAGUUGCCGGCUGUGGGCCUGCUUUCAGAAGGAGUCUCAUGCUCUCCAACCUUGCCUACUCCAUCUUUCUUCCAGGGGAAUAUUGUUGUUCUCAGUAGGUUUGAACCUGAGCGGGCGGAGGGGAAGCAGAGAUUUCAUGAAGAAGAAUUGCUUUGAGGGAGUGCUGGUGGGUGUCAGGAUUCGCAGCAGUGAGCACUGGGAAUCUGUUAAUGGCAACAUUAGUAGGAACGAGAGUAAAGGCAGCCAUUUGCCCGUGUUCCUUGUGUAUUUGGUGUAUCUUAGGUCUGCUCCUGCUGCUAGGAUCCAGUACCUCUUCCUGUAAGAAUGUGUUGCUUGGAUGUGAAGAGAUGCUAUCGAUCUUACAAUGGAGGUUGCAGAUGAAGGAGAAAAGGUUGGAAUUAAGCCGACAGCACUCAGCUGCUGUAAGCCGGACAUUGCAGAAUGGUGGCUUGCAUGAAGCCAGAGGCCAGGCUCUACGGUCUGGAGCCUCACAGGGAGUCCUCCAAGUGAAGGAUGAGCCCUGAGCUGCAAGAGAGAUCUACUCCCACUAAACCAACCUCCCGAGGGGACUUACUUCGUUUGACUGGCUCCGUCAUCCUCAGGAGGAAACUUUCCUCUGCAAGAUGGUGAAAUAGUGCCCAUGUGGAAACGUUCUGACUGCAUGCGCCUGGAGUCCGGCAUUGUUGCAGAGGAGGAGAGCGGCAUAGGAUGGCUCCAAAGAAAAGAGGUCUGCAUCAGAAGGAAAACCUCCUGCCAUGCCAGCUUGCCCAGACCUAAUGGUGAGACGGCCUUUCCCAGCUACACUAAGGGCUGCUUCUUGUGGACUGGAAGUAUUGCCAAAGAGUGAGUGAUCCUUAUUAAUAUGCAUCUCCAAAAACAACAGGCAGUCUUGCACAGAUCCUCUCACACGUAUCUUUGGAUUUUGAGACAGUGGAGAGCUCUUUAUUCCCUCUCACACCAAUGUCAGCCAUAGCGCAAGAUGUCUUGAGCUGAUUAAAAAUCUCUUUAAUCAAAUGCUGGCAGGGGAAGUGUUCAGAACGUUAGAAGGAUGACUUUGACAAGCUGCCCCUGCACUGUGAGUGACUUCAUCCAGAGGUUGGCCCGGCAGGCUGGCGUGUGAUACAAAGCCUCCACUCACCUUGAUUUCCAAAGCUGCCAACAAACUGCAGUGACGAUGCUGAGAAGCCAGUAGGGCACUGUAGCCUGUGCUCAGUUCUUCUCCGUUAGAUACUGACCCCCCCCCCAAAAAAAACCUUUGCUACAGGCAAAAUCCAUCACUCGAUUCAUCAACCCCUACCUACGCUUCAAAUUCCUAUAUCCCAAAUCCAUGGGAACGAUUUUGAACAUGAAUGUAGGCUGGAAAUCAUUGCUGUGCAGAUUGUCUGGAGGCUUUUUUUUCCCCCCUGUUCUAUGGCUGAACUGGACUUCAAAAGAAUAAAUAAAAUCCAUUCUGGUAGCACCCCCUCUUCCCCCUCCAACCCCCCAGGAGGAGUGUACUUCUAUGGAGAAAGGACAUAAAGAAACCUCCUGAUAUUUUAUUCAACCAGAAUUAAGUGUUUUGAUUUUGGGGAAUUCAGCUAAUUUUCUUACUCCUCAAAAUAGGUCAGCUUUGAAAUAGAAGAUGUCACGCUGAAAGAAAAAAAAGGGGAAUAGAUUUGUUUAGUGAAUGUAAGAUUAUACAUACAUACUUCUGGAAUUUUAACAAGCUUAUGAAUGGAAAGAAAGCAUCCAGGUUGUUUCUCAGUCAGUUAGACUUGGAUUUAGGACCGGUUUUCACUCUCCAUAAACUGCAUUUCUUUUUCACUUAGAAGAUCCCCUCCCACCACAAAAGCCCCUUCCCCUUUUGCCAUUGCUGGAAAUAAAUAGCCAUAAUAUAGCUGGAAUUAAUACAGCUACACUGAGUCAACUAAGUGCUGAAUUUUUCUUUCCCAAUGCUCUCCGGGCACCCAGACGUGCUCAAUAGGAAGUGUUGGCACUUGGGGCUACGUAUAGAAAACCAGGGUGUGUGCUGCUGGGGCUGUUAGGGAGGAAAUCUUGUGCCAGCAGCCCUCUGCUGUGGGCCUUCUCCAAGCUUUGUCUCUAUUCCCUCAUUCCUCUGCAGAUGUCCUAAGCCACAUUUUGCUUUCAUUAUGACAAAAAUUGUGCAAGAUACUCAUCUUCUUUUAUUUAUAUAUAUAUAUAUUUUGUAGCAUUUCUGUGUUCCUACACCUUUUCUCUUUGCGGCAUCACUUAUGGACAUGUAAGUAGUAGGUUAGUUUCUAUUCUCACUCUGGGGGGUUGGGUUCCAAACUGUUUAUUGAGUAAUAAAAAGAGAAAAUGGCGAGUCAUUGCCCAGGGAUAAUGUGCUAAUAAUUUUAUGACUGGACAAAUGGUUGCAACAGCCCACAAAUGGCUGUAGGCAGGAAACCUGGUGUCUAUUGCUGACAGAGCCACCCCCAAGGAGAUAAAACCUCACUUUUGGUGAUCAAAGUUGAUGCAACAACUGUGAUCUAUUAAAAAUUACUUUGGAGAUGGGUAAGGCAAUCAUUAUUCCUCUUGGAGGAGAAGUGGCAGACAUAGACUUUUUGGGAAGUGUUUAGAAGUGAGCCCUACAUGGGAUGAAUGCAGCAGACCACCGUGGCUGCUUGCGCUCGGAGCCACGCGGCACGCAGCUGCAGGGCUGCAGGCUGGGGAUGCUUGGAGAAACAAAGAUUAAAGGGGGGUUAGUGCUAUCAGGCAAACACGAAUCAUCCCAGAGAUAACAAAGGGUUGAAGUUUAUUUAGCCACUAACCGUAUGGCACUCAAGUGCGUUAGCCUGGCUUGACUGCUGCAGAGCAUGGAGCCGGAAUGGCUGCUGCAGGGCGUACACCAGGAUACACCCUGUCCCACUCUGGGCUGAUGUCCCCUGUCUGAUUACUCAAGGAGGAUGUCCCCCUCCUGGCGAUGGGGCAGUUGUCCCAUCGGCACCAAUUUCUUCCCACUGUUGUGGAGUUUGGUGGGGAAGGAUGAGCAGGGCCCUUGUGAGGUCUCUCUCUGCCCAUCUCCCAGCAGGCAGGAGGAGCUGUACCUCUUCCAAACCCGCAGCAGAUCCAUCCCUCGAAGUGGGCAAGAAGCCAUGUGAUGGGGCGUAGCUGCUCGCAGCUGCCAAGACCUCACAUUUGUAUGUUAGUGAUGCAGAUAGGAUCUCAUAAACCCGUCUCCAUACUGCUUUACUGCUGAUUUAACGAUCAGAGGAAGAACUUGACUGUUUAUUAAAACAUUAGACAGUAAAGUUUAACAAUAGACAGUAAAGGGUUUUGUUUUUCCAUCCCUCUGAUUGUUAAAGCAACAACACAUAGGCCUGGAGAGGGGCCUGCUGCUAACCUCAGGAUGAUGGGAUGGGGCCAUGAAGCUCCUCCAGAAGGCAGGAUAGAGCAGCUGGCAUUCUGGCAAAUCCCAUAUCUGAAGAAGGAAAUCUGAUGUAGGGUAUGGGUGCGUGCCCCAUCACCGGAGGUGCUGAGGGCUGGGCUGGAUGGGGCCCUGGGCAGCCUGAGGUGGUGGGGGGCAGCCAGCCCAUGGCAGGGGUAGGACUGGGUGGGCUGUAAGGUCCCUUCCAACCCAACCAUUCUGUGAUUCUAUGAGUCUGACUGCGAGAAGGGGCAAUCCAAUUGCUCUGUGGGCAAGGGUCUCGUGGUAGGGCUCCUGUUGUUCAGCAGACCCACAAACACCGGCAAAGGGAGCAGAUGGAAACAAAACUCGCAAGGCAACAGCAUUAUUCAGGACAGUGCCAACGAAAGCUGACUGCGAAGAAACGCCGAAGGAUUGCAGCGUGCAGGUGAUGAAAUGGCAGAGGAAAUUCAUUGUUGGUAACUGCAGAUAGAGAAAAAUCAGCAGUGGCUGUACCCAUACAGCAGCACCAUCUCAAUGAGCUAUUGCCUCUCUGGAAGGAGGCUGUGGAGGCAAGGCAGGCUGUUUCUGGAAACGUCAGCAGUGAUCACAAAGGCAGUGGCCAUUCUAGGGGUUACGGAGGAAGAAAUGGAGAGUAAAACAGGCUGCCAUUGUGCUGCUGGGUGCAUCCACAGUGCAUCCCCAUCCGAGGUGCUGCCCCUGCUUCUGGUGGCCGUGUCUUGGGGCCAAGGGAAGAUGGAAGAGGAGUUACAGGGACUUCAUAGCAGGACCUCGAGAACUUGAGCUGAAGUGGACAGAUCUGGAGGAGAAGAUGAGAGGAAGAAAGCCCUGGGUGGCUUGGAGGAGUUGGACGUGGAGCUGGACAAGCAUCUGCUCUGUGUCUGUGCUGAUGCUAUUUAGAAACCCCAGCCUUGGCUCUGCUUGACAUUUGGUAAUGCUGAACUGGGACAGCACCCAAAAAACCCCAUCCGUGUUGGACCGUCAGUAAGAGGUGGCACAUCUGACCAAAACCACGUCGCCAUUUGCUUCCUUGACAGCACAUCCUACCUCAUCCCCUGUCCUUGUCCUGCUGACCCCCGUUCCCAGCCUCCCUUGCUCAAUUUCAGCAGCAUCCUGGGAGGCCCCUUCAGCUGCAAGCCCCUCGCUUGGGAAAGAAAGUGGGGUUGGAGGGGGGGGAUCAGAGCCCAGCUGUGGGCUGGGGCAGCAGGCGAGUGCUUUCCAAACGCUGACUGCUGUUGGUGUAUUUCUGCUGGUGAGGAUGCAGCUGGCAGCGUUUGUGUGCAUGCGUUUAUACACACACACACACACACACAGACUCACCUCCACACGAGUACACGACUAAAAUACAUAUAUUUCCUCACCCCGCAUCUUUCUGCAAGCUGCAAAAAUACAAAAGAAUAAAAUUAAGUCUCUUAUCGCUGCUAAGUCAUCAGAAACUAAUAUUGCAUCUACCGGGCAGUUUUCCCCCUCCCCCCCCCAAACCAUCUCCACUUCGCAAUCCUAAUUCAAUGAUUCUUUCUGUAGCUCUUUACAUUCUAUUAUUUAUAAGAAACAAUAUUCAGCCCUCCCCUGACAGUGUUUGCAGGGCUGCGGGAAGCAGUGCGGCAGAAAGGUGGUAGAACAAUUUUGGUUAUGUUUCCAUAGCUACCUAGCUGCUAAAUGUGGUUUAUUCCAUUUUAAAGUCAACCAACACACACCCGCACGCACACGCACAAACCACCAGAUGAAGUGUAUUCAAACUAAUCCCUGGGCUGCCUAUUACAGCCUAAUAUCCCUGCCAUUUGUAUAUUUAAAGGGAUAGUUGCUGCAGAAAUAAAUGGCAGGGCAGCGCUCUCGCUGGCUAGAGCAGGAUGAUCAACAUAUUGUUUCUUUCUUGCUCUCCUCUCCGACGUGUGUGUUCCACUCCAUCCCUGUAAUAUUAUUAUGGAGAUUUUUACCGAGGGCUGAGAGCUGAGGAAGUCGGAGGUAGGAUGGUGUCCUCUCGUGGCAGUCAGCAUCUCUGCAGCCUGAUGGUAGCCGUGCCAAGAGAGAGCCGAGCCUGGGCUCUCCUGGGCAUGCACUGCUGUCUUAGGGACAAAACUCUUGGAGCAGAGCUUCCCACCUCCCCUAGUGCACCCAAAGACGAGGAGCCUCCUGCUUCUGCUCCACGCCAGGCUGGAGGCUGCUGCUUGCUCUUGCUUUCCCUGCGUGAAAGAAGAACCCUUGGGAAAGGAGUGGUGGGUACCAGCUUUGCAGAGCGGAGGAAGUUUGUCCCAUGGAAGUGAGCAUCUCUGAGCUGCCGUGGGUUGGUGGAGAACAUCUCAGAGCUUGUAAUCUAGAACUCCAGGAGGCUUCCGUUUGUGUCAUAGUCUUCCCAGUCAUCACCUCCCCAACAAGUCCUUGCCCUUGGAAAUGGUAAGUAGACAAGUCCAGGACUGGAGAUGCAUCUUGGCUUUUCAGGACAAGGGCAGGACAAGGUAAGAGCAUCACGCAAGGGUGGUGAGAUUGGACCCACACUGUGUUCUCCUCCCAUGGCCCUGGGACACCCUGGGUUGAUUCAGCCUCACACCAGGUGAGAUGCUGCGAAUGCUGAGCUUUACCAGAACCAUCCCAUUCUCUUCUUCAAUGCUAACACCUAGUUGGGGUUAGCCCAAAGGAUCAUCCAUUGCCCUGGAGGGCUCAUGCUGCAUGCUGAAAAGCAAGUGGGAAGGACUUUGAGGUCAUGCUUGGUUGGUCUCAUUUUCCAAGGGACCUGUGAGCAGAGCUCCUGGCAGAGGCUGAUGAUUGGGUUUUGCCAAUGGGGAGAUAUUAUGAAAAAAUAAAGAAAGAAAAGAAAGAAAGAAAGAAAGAAAGAAAAGAAAAGCUUUCCCAGGAUAGCUGCAAUUGAAAUACAGAAUAAUUAAAUUGCCUGACAUCACAUGCAGAAAGAAGGUGGAGCACGUAGCAGUGAUCAGUAAAAAUGAAACGCUUUGCAGGUGGAGUACACCUGAGUUUUCUGCAGUCCAGAUAUGUACUCAGACUUCCUGGAAUCUUUUGGGGCCUAAUUAAAUUCAAAGGGAUUUAAGCAAAAUCUGCAUGGAAGAUAAUACUUUUCUUUCUAUUAAGGAACUGCUUAAUAAAACAGAUUAUGUGUAAAAUAGAAAUAUGGGCCCUGCAACAGGAAAGUGAAAAGACACUAAUGAGCAGUGUCUGAGUGUUAAUGAAUUGUAUUAGCAUGCCAUUACCUGCAAAUAUUAUAAAUAGACCGACUGGCUUUGCAUUCCCUUCCCUCCCAAGAACUGUAUGUGAUCUCUAGGAGUGUCUUGCUGGGUUUCUGGGAGCUGUGUUCACCCUUUGAGCCUACAGUGGAGGUGGAGAUGAGAACGUUGACCUUUCGUUUCACUACAUCAUGCAUUCCUUUGGGCAUUCUGAAGCCACCAGGGCAGAGAAGAUGGGGGACGCUGCAUUUUAUUUGGGCUUAGCCCAUAGGCCAUGUUGGGAAGGAGACAAAACAGCUGCGUGCUGCGGGAGGGUAAGAUAGGAUGGGGUUGUGGCAAACCCACCCCUGUGCUUUCCCCAUCACAGCGAUGGACAAGUCCAGAGAUAUUCUGGGUAGAGAAGCUGGGAGGAGAUGCUACCAAUAAUUGGGAGGGAUGUCAAGAAGAAAUGAUGUAUUUAAACAUAUGGACAGGGAUACCUCACCCCUCACCAGCCAUGUAAGGGUUAGUUGUGUGCUCGUUUUGCUGCUCUCUGCAGUCCAUGCAGAAGCAAGUUUCUGGCAGAAGUCUUGGCCCGAAGAGGUGUCCAUGGCAGAUGGGUUCAGCUGUUCUCUGGAGGGUUCUCCUCCUGUUGAUAACAGAGAGAGUGUAGGCAAGUUUGAGACCCAAUGCAUGUCAGUGCUGUUAGCAGAGACAAGCCCUCUUCCCUCCUGGAUGAGGUGCAAACAACUGUAAUUCUGCAAAAUUCCAUGUGGGUUAGUGCUCAUUUCUUAAACAGCCCAAGCUGUCAGGAAUAUCCGAUGUGUGUGAGGAAGAGGAGUGAAGGAGCUGCUGCUUUCUGGCUGCAAUUCGGAUCUCCUGCUUCGACUUCAGAGCCAACAUCCAGACCUCCUGCUCUCCAGGGGCUGUUCCACUGGGUGCUGCAGACCCAAAGUGCCUCAUAAAUCACCGCUGACUGCCGGGAUCGCUUUGGCCGCUCUUCCCCAUCGUCCUGUCUGCAGGAAUGGGCUGCAUGUUUCCACGUGGAUCGGGUCUGAAUUGGCUGUCUGAACCCAGAGAUUAAAGAAACAGCAGCCUCUCUCUCUCCUGUAACUGGCCCGAGAAUCCAUGAGCAUCCUCAGAAGUCUGAAGAGAAUGGGCAUCCUGUCUAUAUCCAAGGCAGGUAAUCACUGUAAAGGCACUUCUUUUUCUCCCAACAAGAAUAUAUCUGUCAAGAGAAACAGAUGUUCUCUAUGAAGAAUCUUCUUUAAUUACAAGUCUGUCAAAAAGAGAAAUCUUCAAGUGUCUCAAGCCUCAAAUCUGCGAAUGGCUUCAGCCCUGGGCAAGAAAUCACCCCUUUCCUGAGCAGCCCCAGUGCCCUUUCUCAGCUCUUGUCAUGUCAUCCCUGCAGCUGCACCAAUAAACUGGGCAUUUUUGGAGUUUAGUUUUCAGAUGAGCCCGCUUCAAAUCAAUGGAGCUGCUGCUUUUCGUGACUCCUGGGAAUAAGAUGGCGUGGAAACAACCCACGGCCAUGCCCAAAUAAGAAAACUAAAAGAAUUAUUGGUUUUGGUCAACCUGGAACAUGGCUCUUUUUGCCCUGACAUUUUCCUAGAGGAAAGUGAAACUCUUCAUCUACAGAUUCAAAAAGUCCCAAAGGCACUCUGUCAGACAUCUCCCAACGUGCUCUCUCAGUUAUUGCUGGAUGGAUCAGAAGUUCUCCAGGGAGCAGUGAAGAUGUUUUUGCGGGCUACAAAACCUCAAAGGCUGAAAAUACUCAAUUCCAGUGUCUGCUUCUUGCUUCCAGAGGAGAUAUCUGCUCUUUGUCUUCAUCUUCAUCGUCAUCAUCUUUGUCUUUGUCUUCAUCUUUGUCUUUGCUUUGUCUUUGUCCUCCUUCUCCUUCUUUCUCUCUCUCCUCUUCCUCUUCCUUUUCCUCCUUCCUCCAGCUCCUAAAUCCCCACCUUCCCUUGACCCCCCCUCCUUUCCUUCUCCCCAUCAUGCAUUGCAUGCUGAAUGCAGGAGGCUCUCAAAGGCAAGAGUCGGCCUGGGACACUCUUACCCACAAUAGCAGUGGUGAACAGAACCCAGGUUUUCAGCCAGGAAAUUUCACUGGUAAUCUCCUGCGAGGGAGGCGCUCCCAUUUUUCAUGAUGGUUGGCCCUUGCGGGAUAUGGAUGAAAAGAGAAAGCAUUUCAUUUGCUCUUUGAAAACUGGAGCUAUAGAUCAAGGCCCUGCUCAGUCCCCUGAAGACUAGAAAUGGGAUUUUUGCAAGAAUUGAGGCUAUCCUCUCUGAAAACUAAAACAGUUAUCUACACUUUCAUCGAGAGGUCAGCAGUAGAGAUUUUUCUCCAACAGCUGGAUAAAUCCAGGCUGUUAGUGCCUCUCCUUCCCACUGUUCUCUGUUAUUGCUUUUCAUUACGUGAAGGGUGAGGAACAAGCAAAUACCUCUGCUUUCUAGCUUUGCCCUUGCCCGUUUGUACAAAGCAGCCAAACAUUUCCUUCUGACACUCAGGACCCAAGCACCUUUGGUGUCUGAUGUUUCUCCUUGGAUGCCAUGGUCUGGAUGCAGUUGCUCAGGGCUGCUUAAUCCUACCAGAUGGCAUAGAAAUGUUAUUUUUUGGACACAGGCACUCUUCUUGCCGGAUAUGGGUGCCACGGGACCAGGGCAUCCUUUGUCGCCUGGACCCAGUGUGAUCUCCUGUAACACUGGGCAGGAGGGUUUGCAGAAUCACGCUGCAUCCUGCGUCCCUGAGCCUUGCAGCCAUAAAUCCUUUGCCUCUGCCACAACUGUGAUUGAGCCUGCCUGGCUUAAUUUAUUUCUCCAGAGCCCACACAGUUAUGGUAGAGAUGAUUGCCUGCUCAAGGAGCAGCACUUGGGAUGAAAUCUUUUCCUCUUGAGAGUGCUGCUGGAAAAACAAGGCAGUGUCCGUGAGCUGCCAGCAAUCCCCAUGUAGGCAUUGUCUUUGCUUGGCCACUUCUUUGCGGUGCUCUCAUCCUUCCUGACCUCUCCCCUUCUCUCCCUUCCUUUAAGUCCUUUUCUCUCUGUUUCAUUUCUACCUAUGUCUCUUCCUCUUCAGGUUCCUCGCUAGGCACUGGAGCUGAUUGCAGUGGUGAUCCAGCAAAUCACAGUAGUGAUGCUGCUGAUGGAAUAACUCCUUGGGGUUCCACACGGUUGCUGUGCGGGCACUGAGUUUCAAACUGCAGAAAAGGAGCAGGAAAGCCUGAUAUUUGGGUGCAUCAACUGGAGCUUUCAUCCCCACCCCAGGGAGAUGGGUUUUGGAGCCCUAGCAGCCUGCCCACCCUAUGGACAUGGCCAGAUACCCCCAGUUCCUUCCCAAGCACUGCUACCCAGAGAGGUGCUCUGUCCUGGCUAUGGGAGUUGAGCACGAAUAACUCACAAAUAAUGGAAAUCCCCACCAUGUGCCCCCAGCAUUGGCACGGCUCAGGGCCCUGCAAGAAGCGCGCUGCCUUGUUUGUCACCUGAAGCACUUGGAAAAAUUACACAAAUCCAUCAAUGUAAUGAAUCUUCUCAGCAGUGGCAAAUAGACAGAGACAGACAGGCACUCAGCUGAAACAAGUCAUCUUUAAAAAUUAAUACAAAAUAAACAGCUGGCCUUUCGCUCCGCUUCCAGGUGGUGGCUGCGUGGUUUGGGCGAGGGCUGGGCAGGGACCAAUGAUGGUUCCCAAUGGGAUCACGUCCCUGGGGCAGGGAAGUGUCCUCUGCCGUGUCCCUGUCACUGUCACAGUGUCACCUCCAUCUGCUGCUGCUCCAGGAAUGGUGGUGCAGCGCGGCAGUCAGUGUUGCACUGCAUGAGUGACUGCUUAAGAAACAGCCAAAUCUUUGGGAAUGCCAAAGCCUCAUCACCUCCCUACAGCCUUGCCAGGCUUCUGCCAGCCCUCUGGGCUCUCACAUCAGUUUGUCAGUGUCUGAUGGAGCUUGUACACUCCUCAGAGGACAGGCUGAGCUUGCUCUCCUGCUUGUCACGAUGUGGGCUCCAUAAAUAAUUAACAGCGGUGCUGCUUCUGCCCUCGAGCUUUCAUUUCAUUACCCAGGAAUAACAUACCCACCUAUAUACGUGUGUAUGUACAUGUCUGCGUGUAAUACGCAUCCAUAUGUACUUACAUUGCUUAAACAUCUGUUUCACCGGCCAGCCUCUCUGCUUUUCCUUCGGCCAUUGCUCUGUCUCCCUGCUGGUCCCAAGGGCAGGCAAGCAGCAGAAGGCGCUGCUCUCGACCGUGAGCAUCCCACCAGUGCUCCAGCUGCUCCUGCUCUGAGGCCAGGCUAUUUAUGAGGUACCAUGGGGCUGCCCUUGCCCUGCAGAGUGUGGGGAUGGAGAGCGGGGAGGAAGACGGAUGGAUCCUGAAUUGAGGUGAAUUUAUGGGGCUUUGCGAUUCCUGCUGCUGUAUGUCUCCGAGAAAUGACACCGCCACUUCAGGAGCAGAGAUUAAUCUGAGCCGGCAGGAGAAGGACAAAACAAAUCAUCUACUGCAGGAAUCUCAUUUGAUGCCUGUUAGUAAAAGCACUGCGAUGAAUGGCUUUUGUAAAGACCACGUAGUACAGGCUUUUUUUUUUUCCUCCCUUUUCUCCAUUCGUCUGCAAAUUGAGGUCUGUGAGGUGUGUGGUGGAGGCACCCCAGGGUCACUCAUGGCCAGGCACAGGACAAGGACUCCCAGCAGCUUUGUGCACUGUGAGACAGGAGAGCAAAAAAGGGAAGGCAGAGCUCCCAGCGCAUCGUACCCAAGGAAGGAAUCCUUCGCUUUUGUUUUUAAAAGGGCAUUGAUUCUCACGUCCUGCAGAACACGGGGUCGGGGCAGCCUGCAGCCCCAGACAGAACAUCCCAGUGCUGCUCUGCAUCCCAGCCAGCAGCAGCUGGAUGCGGCCCAGUGGGAGCAGUACCAGCACCGAGCACUCCUCCCGCACGCCGCUGUGCAUCCCAGCUCAAUACAGAAUCAAUUGGAUUGAUCUUUUUUUAAGGUGCAGCCUCCGAACGGCUGAGACUGUGAGAGACGUGGCUAAGCACGCACUUCCACAAAAUAAUUUGUCAGGCCCCGCUGUAGAAACCUAAUGAUGGCUGUAAUUUAUUGCUGACAGACGAUAUUUAUCACCGCAGCAUCCCCUCUUUCUCUUCCUCUGUCUCGUUAGGAAUGGCAUCAAUAAUGUUUAUUGUAGCUUUUAAUUUUUUAUCGCUGGUAUUCUUACCUGUGCUGCUGAGGGCUGCAGGAGAUGGGAAAGGCGUCAGAGCAGAUGGAGGCUCAGCUCUGUGCUGAAGGGUGAGCGAUGAAGGCUGGAAGUUCCUCCUGCGUGCCCAUGCAGGGAGCGUGCAGUGCCAGAGAGCACCCCGGUAGCAGGGAAAAGUGAGCUGUUCCCAUAAAGCUUACUCCCUCUCUUCUGAGCCUUUGGACCUGUGCAAGGGAUGCUCAGACCCAGCAAAGCGGUGGCAUUGCUUUGGUUUUCCCCAGAUGCUGCUCCCACGUGGGGCUGGAGAAGGAACAUCACCCCUCCGCUGCUGCACCUGCAUUGCUGCGAUCAUCUCACACCUGAUGAUGCCCACAAGCCCUGUGGUCACAGUUCUUGUCCCUGAAAGCAACCAAAACCCCAACUCCAAUCCUGAAAUCUCCUUUUUUUCCCCUCGUUUUCCUACAGUUUUUCCUACCCUUGAGGAAAUGUGCUGCACCAGGUUUUGAUGCCCUAUAAACCAGCACUUCCCAGAGGGGAUUUCUUCCCCCUUUCCAGACGUGAAUAAUUACCCAGGCAGAGGCUGUUCCAGCCUCGUUACAGGAGCCUCUCAGACUAGCCGGUCAUUUACAGAUUAGAUAGAUGUUGCCCACGUUGUUCAUAACUGAUUAUGGGAUUGGCAGUUUGGCUCUCACCCAAAAUUCAGAGUCCUGAUUUAGCAUAAUUGGAAGUGAAUGGCGGAGCAGGCUGGGGGAUGGGGAUGGUGCCUGCUGCUGAUUUCCUAAUGCCGGCUUUGGGGAUCCCUGACAAGCUGCGGAGUGCUCUUUAUAGGGCAAUAACGUUUACGGUGUGGGUUGUCUGGGGGAGGAACUCCUGUGAUGGCAGCAGCCACCUCCUGCACGUCCCAGAUCGAAGCUGGAGAAAUCAAGAAUACCAGAAGAGCAACG
ensembl:lncRNA